rnacentral:rRNA from 1 species
AUACGGGAGGCAGCAGUGAAGAAUAUUGGGCAAUGGGCGAAAGCCUGACCCAGCAACGCCGCGUGAGGGAAGAAGGUUCUCGGAUUGUAAACCUCUGUCCCAUGGGACGAACACAAUGACGGUACCAUGGGAGGAAGCCCCGGCUAACUACGUGCCAGCAGCCGCGGUAAUACGUAGGGGGCAAGCGUUGUCCGGAAUUAUUGGGCGUAAAGGGUGCGUAGGCGGCCUUUCAAGUCGGAUGUGAAAUCCCCGUGCUUAACAUGGGAAUUGCAUUCGAAACUGGAGGGCUUGAGUGUGGAAGAGGUAAGUGGAAUUCCCAGUGUAGCGGUGAAAUGCGUAGAUAUUGGGAGGAACACCAGUGGCGAAGGCGACUUACUGGGCCACAACUGACGCUGAUGCACGAAAGCGUGGGGAGCAAACAGGAUUAGAUACCCCCGUAC